CCUACGGGUAGCAGCAGUGAGGAAUAUUGGUCAAUGGGCGCAAGCCUGAACCAGCCAAGUCGCGUGAGGGAUGACGGUCCUAUGGAUUGUAAGCCUCUUUUGUCGGGGAGCAAGGCCCGCCACGUGUGGCGGGAAGGAGAGUACCCGAAGAAAAAGCAUCGGCUAACUCCGUGCCAGCAGCCGCGGUAAUACGGAGGAUGCGAGCGUUAUCCGGAUUUAUUGGGUUUAAAGGGUGCGUAGGAGGAAGGUUAAGUCAGCGGUAAAAUGUCGGGGCUCAACACCGGCCUGCCGUUGAAACUGGUCUUCUUGAGUGAGCGAGAAGUAUGCGGAAUGCGUGGUGUAGCGGUGAAAUGCAUAGAUAUCACGCAGAACUCCGAUUGCGAAGGCAGCAUACCGGCGCUCAACUGACGCUGAGGCACGAAAGCGUGGGGAUCGAACAGGAUUAGAUACCCGAGUAGUC
rnacentral:rRNA from 1 species